UGGGGAAUAUUGCACAAUGGGGGAAACCCUGAUGCAGCGACGCCGCGUGAGCGAAGAAGGCUUUCGAGUCGUAAAGCUCUGUCCUAUGAGAAGAUAAUGACGGUAUCAUAGGAGGAAGCCCUGGCUAAAUACGUGCCAGCAGCCGCGGUAAUACGUAUGGGGCGAGCGUUGUCCGGAAUUAUUGGGCGUAAAGGGUACGUAGGCGGUUUUUUAAGUCAGGUGUCAAAGCGUGGAGCUUAACUCCAUUAAGCACUUGAAACUGAAAGACUUGAGUGAAGGAGAGGAAAGUGGAAUUCCUAGUGUAGCGGUGAAAUGCGUAGAUAUAUGGAGGAACACCGGUGGCGAAAGCGGCUCUCUGGUCUGUAACUGACGCUGAGGCUCGAAAGCGUGGGGAGCGAACAGG
rnacentral:rRNA from 1 species